AGAGAUCAGAAAGGAGACGAACCACCCAAGAAAUUUCUGCAACUAGCCUACGCAUAGAGCGAUAUUCGGCUUCCGCCGAGGAUAAGGAAACCACCAUCUGUUUUUUAGAUUUCCAAGAGAUUGGUGAGCCUCCGAGGCUAAGAUAAAACCCACUUACAGAUCGGCGGGAAUCAGCACACGCAGCCUAAUCCGCAUCACAAAAGGCAAGAAUUUGAAAAGAAGGAGAUGAAUUGAUAAAAGGCCUAACUUGGAUCUUUUCUGAGGUAUCGCAAAGUGUGAUAAGCUGCUUGUAAAUGCCCUGUACAAGGGGUUUGCAUAAAUUGGCUCAAGGUUUGAACAGUAUAUGACAAAUCUGGUCGUGUGUGGGUGAGAAAGUUCAGUUGUCCCAACAAACGCCGAUAAAAGGUUGGAUCUUGAAGAACAGUUCCAGAAUCAGAGCUCAAUUUUACUGUUGGAUCUAAGGGUGUGGAAGCAGGACGAGAUCUAAUGUCUGGGUAUUCUGAUAAGAGGUCAAGAGUGAACUUCCGUUGUGUUAUGAUGAGUCCAUCUGAUUCAGGUAUUAUUUCCAUCCCCAAGAAAUAAUUUGCUAAGCCCAAAUCUUUGAUCUUAAAUUCUUUAUCCAGAAACAUUUUCAAGUCACGAAUUUCCUCUGUAUUGUUUCCUGUCAACAAAAUAUCAUCGACAUAUACAGCAAUUAUGGUUAUCAAUGUCCCUGAAGAUUUUGUAAAUAAGGAGUAAUCAUUCAUGGAAUGGACAUAUCCCCUGGUACCAAGAGCUGCAGAUAAUCGUGAAUACCAUUGUCGAGAAGCUUGUUUUAAUCCGUAAAGAGACUUACGAAGUCUACAUACAUGAGAUGGAGAUGGAGGAUCAACCCCCGGAGGGAACUUCAUGUACACUUCCUCGUCCAAGUCCCCAUGGAGAAAAGCGUUAUUCACAUCCAUCUGAUACAAAAGCCAGCCCUUCUUUACUGCAAUACUCAAAAUACAACGUAUGGUUGUCAUCUUAAUCACAGGUGAAUAAGUUUCUGUAUAGUCUAUACCCUCUCUUUGAAUAUCCCCCCUUACUACCAAACGUGCCUUUAAUCUUUCCAAAGAGCCAUCAGAUUUCAGUUUGACUUUGUAUACCCAUUUGCAGGGUAAAGCCUUCUUUCCGGGAGGAAGGGAAACUACUUCCCAGGUGGAGUUAGAUUCAAGGGCUUCAAGUUCUUGCUGCAUAGCUAAUGUCCAACCUGGAUGGAUAGC
rnacentral:lncRNA from 1 species